rnacentral:rRNA from 1 species
GCGAACGCUGGCGGCAGGCCUAAUACAUGCAAGUCGAGCGGCCCUUCGGGGCAGCGGCGGACGGGUGAGUAACGCGUGGGAACGUGCCCUUUGGUACGGAACAACUGAGGGAAACUUCAGCUAAUACCGUAUGUGCCCUUCGGGGGAAAGAUUUAUCGCCAUUGGAGCGGCCCGCGUUAGAUUAGCUAGUUGGUAGGGUAAUGGCCUACCAAGGCGACGAUCUAUAGCUGGUCUGAGAGGAUGAUCAGCCACACUGGGACUGAGACACGGCCCAGACUCCUACGGGAGGCAGCAGUAGGGAAUCUUGCGCAAUGGGCGAAAGCCUGGCGCAGCCAUGCCGCGUGAAUGAUGAAGGUCUUAGGAUUGUAAAAUUCUUUCACCGGGGACGAUAAUGACGGUACCCGGAGAAGAAGCCCCGGCUAACUUCGUGCCAGCAGCCGCAGUAACAC